AUUGAACGCUGGCGGCAUGCUUUACACAUGCAAGUCGAACGGUAACAGGUUAAGCUGACGAGUGGCGAACGGGUGAGUAAUGCAUCGGAACGUGCCCGGUCGUGGGGGAUAACGCAGCGAAAGCUGCGCUAAUACCGCAUACGAUCUGAGGAUGAAAGCGGGGGACCGUAAGGCCCCGCGCGAUCGGAGCGGCCGAUGUCAGAUUAGGUAGUUGGUGGGGUAAAGGCUCACCAAGCCAACGAUCUGUAGCUGGUCUGAGAGGACGACCAGCCACACUGGGACUGAGACACGGCCCAGACUCCUACGGGAGGCAGCAGUGGGGAAUUUUGGACAAUGGGCGAAAGCCUGAUCCAGCAAUGCCGCGUGCAGGAAGAAGGCCUCCGGGUUGUAAACUGCUUUUGUACGGAGCGAAAAGGUCUCCUCUAAUACAGGGGGCUCAUGACGGUACCGUAAGAAUAAGCACCGGCUAACUACGUGCCAGCCGCCGCGGUAA
rnacentral:rRNA from 1 species